CCUGCAGGAUAGUGUGUAUCAGCUUCACGCAAUUUUGAUGCGUCUUUUGCUGAAAGUGUUUCCUGCUAUAUCAAUCUGAGGAAAAUGGGCAGUUGGGUUAAGCAUAUCUGCUUUCUCCAACAAUCAUUUUCCUCUCAUGU
rfam:Zea mays cultivar B73 chromosome 7, whole genome shotgun sequence.